ensembl:lncRNA
CUUGUUUUAAGACAAAUCCAACCUGAUAGGAUGGUCAGACUGGCUGCCUGCAAUAUACUGCCUUUCACCUCAUUUCUGAUUUCCCUUUUGUUGAGCCAUAUGCUGCCAACAUCCUUGUCAUUUCUCUGUCUCCUCCCUUUCCUCCAGCUGAUGUUUUGGCACUAUUUAAAUCCAUGUCCAGUUGUGCUUUUAUUAAACACAGGGAUGGAAAUUCUGCCCAGUGGUUCCUUUUCAGUCUCCACCUCCUUUUGUUUUGUCUUAAAUGCAUUUAAGGGGAAGCAGGAGGAGAGAUGGAAAAGGAAGGGUUCAGUCUAGACUUUCAGAGCAGUUUCUCUUUCCCUAAAGAGCACAGCUCAUUUCCUUACAGAGUAGCAUGGCUGGGAAGUUGUGUAUUUCUUCUCAGCACUAACUUUCCUGAAAUUUGUUGAAUCAAAGCAUAGCUACUAAGCAUAAACACAAAUGUGUGAGUGUUCUCCUCUCUCCUGCUUCAGAGUAGAAGAAUGAGCAGAGUAAUGAGUGAAGGGGAGCAGCUACAGGGUGGAAACGUUGAAAGAAAAUAGAUAAAUAUCCAUAGACACACCUGCACUUAGGUGUUUCUGCACCGUGGGGCCUCACAGAGGUUGUUUUUUUGCCAGAAAUGAUUCAAGGACAGAAAACUGAGCAAUGUGGAAGUUGAUGAUUUGCCUGAGGGUUAUUUACAAGGUUUUGCCUUUGCAAAAAAAGUGUUACUUUAUGGCUGUAACUUUAACCCUUCAUACAUUGCACUUAGCCAAAGACUGGAGAGAUUCUUUUUUCUUCAAAGUGCAUCUACAGUUGCUGGUUUUGAAUAAAGGCCCAUUUAAUACUGGUUCAUCUACUCUUGCCAAGUUUCUGUGUUUGCUUUGAAUCAAAUUAAAUUGCAUUGUCAUAUUAAAAAUGAGUAGUGUAGUCUUCACCAAGCUGUUUUCCUCUGUGAUACUCUGUUUAAAUUUUUUGGUAAAUGAAGCUUGGUCUGGUUAGAAAGAAAAUGUUUAAAAAACAAACACAAAUACCCAAAAAACAAGUGAUGAGAUCAUAAUUUCUCUACUUCAUGGAGUUUCCACUUUAUUAAUGUAGCUGCUUCCUUAUGUGUUUGUUUACUUACGAGAUGAGGUUUCUUUUGUGUGAAGAUGUGGACAGGAAGAUAAGCUGAAAUCUGACGGUGUCCUUGGUUUAAGAUAACUCAUCCAUUCAGUUUGUAUUCUGCUUAGUGAAACAAAGCUACAUAAUGUUUGUUGUUCUGCCACCACAAGGUAAAAUACCACACUGCUCCUUGCCAUCACAGUGAUGUUUUUCCAAAUGAAAGAAAGUACCUGUCUUAAGAAGAGACUGUGUAUGGGCAGGCGUGCUGGUGAGGUGUGGCUACUACAUCCCCUUGAUCAUCGUUGCCUAUUCUUCCUAUUUUUUCUUCUUAACUUUGUUGCUUUGUGUGUUUUGGAUUCUGCUGCAUGUAGUAGGUGCUAAGGCUGUGUCUUGUAUAUUGGGUGAAAGUGGGAGGUUAAGGUGCUGCUUCCUAUGAGGGAGAAUGGAUGUGCAGCAAACAAAUGAUUUAGCAAAUGCUACUUUUGAAGGUGUGACCAGAGCAGUGCACUCUGACAAGGGCAGAAACUGCAACAGCAGGCAACAUUUUCAUCCAACUAGGCAAAGACAACGGUAGCAGGAACACCGUAUCAAAUGUUGACAUGGUGAAGGCAACGGACAAGGCAAGUUCUCUGUGUAACUUGAUUUGAGAUAGUGAAGCUCUACUAGCCCUCUGUUUGUUUGUUUGGUGUUUUUUUUUUUUUUUUCCUGGUAGUAUGAGGGCUGCUCCAAAAGUAAUGCCUCCUAUUUUAUCAUGCUGGCCCAUGAUGUCAGAGAUGGAUGUUGGUGGUAUGGCAGUAGAAGUAGAACCUGUCUAUCAGUAUCCUGUUACAUUUUGUGCCAUGGCAGCAGAGGGGCAGUCUGACAAAGUGACGUCUGACACGAAAGAGCGGGUGAAUGGAUGUUACUGAAUUUCUCUGUGCUGAAAAAAGUGGCACCCACUGACAUUCAUUUGACACUUGUUGAACAUUGAUGGAGGCCAAACAGUGGAUGUGAGCACAGCGAGACUGUGGGUGGUACAUUUCAGCAGUGGUGACAGUGACAGUGGAUCACCUCCACUAAUGCAGAUUUUUAUGAUUGCGGC